UCCAAAUAUCUCUCAAAUUUUAAUGUAAAAGUGAAUUUUCUUUUUCUUUUUUAUAUUCUUUUCAUUUUGUUUGAUUUGAUUUUUCUUUGUUUCUUUGGUGGUCAAGUACUGUGUAGAGGGGGUGAUAUACAAUUUCAGUAGUAUGCUAGUCCUCCGAUUCUGAUGUUUUACUUUGUCUAAAUGCUCAUGUGAAAUACAUUGUAUUGUCAGUGUUGGUGUACAACUUCAAUUAGGGGUAAAAUGUUUUUUUUCAACCUUUGGGUUGAGAUUUUGAAGUUGGUAAGGAUGAGAGUUGGAGAAAUUCUGCACCUGUGACUGCUAUGGUGCAAUCUGUGAUUCACAAUAUAAGAAUCUUUGGUUUUUAGUAACUGAAACAAAACAAGUCUGAGCUGCAAUGAUCUGUGUGACAGGAAAAAAUGCUGAAAAUUUGGAAGGCGGACUUGGGAAGGGAAGCGAGAGGUAGAGCACAUGAGGGUUUUGCCAAUUCUUAGGCUGCAAAGAUGGAAAAAGAAGUAUCUACAGGCUUGCUAAGGGUAGAGAAAGAAAGACAAGAGGCUUGAAGAUGAACUGAUGAAGAGGGUAAAGUCUUAGUCACUAAACAAGAUAUUAAGGAAAGGAGGAAGAGUCACCUUCAAACUGUAUUUAAUGGAGGACAUGGGAUUUAAUUGCACUCUGAUAGGCUAAUCAGUAGAGAGGAGUGUUGGAAUGUAUAUGUAAUUUAGCAAAAAUAUCUCCUAUUAAUUAUUUUGUGUAUAAGUAGUAUUUGGUUUUAUUUUGAUCCUUAUUUUACUAGUUGGCUUAUUUUCUUAGUUUCCUAAUAUUAGAAGAGAUUGUAAAUUCUACUUCCAUUAUUUUCUCAGUUUCCUAUUGUUGGAGAUUGCAAACCAUCUGAUUACAAUCAAUCACGUGUUGCUGAACUUGCCACAAGAACAUUAUAGGUGAAAAGGGACGAGUUUGUCAAUUUCACCAUUUAAUCUCCUGUCAUGUUUCAUAUUGCAGAGAUUACAACUGAUUUGUCCUGUUAUUUCAAAUAAAGUGGCCAUAUAACUAUGGUGCUACGCAAGAUUUGUUUUUCCCCUCGAGAAUUUAAUUUACGUCUACAUCGUUGUACAAUUGCCCUUCCUGGCUAUUUUUCUCUUCUAUUCAUGUUUCAUCGCACUACUUAGUAUUUACAAUCAUUGUCCAUGGAUGAUUCAGUUAUUUUCUGUUAACUGAUCUGUCAUCCUGGUAUUCUCGGAUUUA